UACGUAGGGGGGCGAGCGUUGUCCGGAUUUAUUGGGCGUAAAGAGCUCGUAGGCGGCUUGGCAAGUCGGGUGUGAAACCUCCAGGCUCAACCUGGAGACGCCACUCGAUACUGCUAUGGCUAGAGUCCGGUAGGGGACCACGGAAUUCCUGGUGUAGCGGUGAAAUGCGCAGAUAUCAGGAGGAACACCGGUGGCGAAGGCGGAUCUUUGGGCCUGUCCUGACGCUGAGGCGCGAAAGCUAGGGGAGCGAACAGG
rnacentral:rRNA from 1 species